AGCAGCUUGCUGCUUUGCUGACGAGUGGCGGACGGGUGAGUAAUGUCUGGGAAACUGCCUGAUGGAGGGGGAUAACUACUGGAAACGGUAGCUAAUACCGCAUAACGUCGCAAGACCAAAGAGGGGGACCUUCGGGCCUCUUGCCAUCGGAUGUGCCCAGAUGGGAUUAGCUAGUAGGCGGGGUAACGGCUCACCUAGGCGACGAUCCCUAGCUGGUCUGAGAGGAUGACCAGCCACACUGGAACUGAGACACGGUCCAGACUCCUACGGGAGGCAGCAGUGGGGAAUAUUGCACAAUGGGCGCAAGCCUGAUGCAGCCAUGCCGCGUGUAUGAAGAAGGCCUUCGGGUUGUAAAGUACUUUCAGCGGGGAGGAAGGCGAUAAGGUUAAUAACCUUGUCGAUUGACGUUACCCGCAGAAGAAGCACCGGCUAACUCCGUGCCAGCAGCCGCGGUAAUACGGAGGGUGCAAGCGUUAAUCGGAAUUACUUGGGCGUAAAGCGCACGCAGGCGGUCUGUCAAGUCGGAUGUGAAAUCCCCGGGCUCAACCCUGGGAACUGCAUUCGAAACUGCCAGGCUAGAGUCUUGUAGAGGGGGGUAGAAUU
rnacentral:rRNA from 1 species